GACGAACGCUGGCGGCGUGCUUAACACAUGCAAGUCGAACGAAGUGGCGAACGGGUGAGUAACGCGUAAUCAACCUGCCCUUCAGAGGGGGACAACAGUUGGAAACGACUGCUAAUACCGCAUACUGAAGGAGGGGAUUGCGUCUGAUUAGCUAGUUGGAGGGGUAACGGCCCACCAAGGCGAUGAUCAGUAGCCGGUCGUAGAGGAUGAACGGACACAUUGAGACUGAGACACGGCCCAGACUGCGACGGGAGGCAGCAGGGGGGAAUCUUCCUCAAUGGACGAAAGUCUGACUGUGCAACGCCGCGUGAGUGAUGACGGCCUUCGGGUUGUAAGGCGCUGUUAAUCGGGACGCGGUACCGGAAUAGAAAGCCACGGCUGACUACGUGCCAGCCGCCGCGGUAAUAC
rnacentral:rRNA from 1 species